rnacentral:rRNA from 1 species
UACGAAGGGGGCUAGCGUUGCUCGGAAUCACUGGGCGUAAAGCGCACGUAGGCGGAUUGUUAAGUCAGGGGUGAAAUCCUGGAGCUCAACUCCAGAACUGCCUUUGAUACUGGCGAUCUCGAGUCCGGGAGAGGUGAGUGGAACUGCGAGUGUAGAGGUGAAAUUCGUAGAUAUUCGCAAGAACACCAGUGGCGAAGGCGGCUCACUGGCCCGGUACUGACGCUGAGGUGCGAAAGCGUAGGGAGCAACAGGA